rnacentral:rRNA from 1 species
GAUGAACGCUGGCGGCGUGCCUAAUACAUGCAAGUCGAGCGAACAGACGAGGAGCUUGCUCCUCUGACGUUAGCGGCGGACGGGUGAGUAACACGUGGAUAACCUACCUAUAAGACUGGGAUAACUUCGGGAAACCGGAGCUAAUACCGGAUAAUAUAUUGAACCGCAUGGUUCAAUAGUGAAAGACGGUUUUGCUGUCACUUAUAGAUGGAUCCGCGCCGCAUUAGCUAGUUGGUAAGGUAACGGCUUACCAAGGCAACGAUGCGUAGCCGACCUGAGAGGGUGAUCGGCAACACUGGAACUGAGACACGGUCCAGACCCCUCCGGGAGGCAGCAGUAGGGAAUCUUCCGCAAUGGGCGAAAGCCUGACGGAGCAACGCCGCGUGAGUGAUGAAGGUCUGCGGAUCGUAAAACGCUGUUAUUAGGGAAGAACAAAUGUGUAAGUAACUAUGCACGUCUUGACGGUACCUAAGCAGAAAGCCACGGCUAACUACGG